CCUGCCAGGACAGAGUGCUCAGAGUUUUACAGGGAUCUGAUGUGAUGUAUGCAAUUGAAGUUCCUGGACCCCCUACUGUCUUAGCACUACACAAUGGAAAUGGCGGUAAUCAGGAUUUUAUUUUUCACAAAUCAACUAUGUGUUGUAAUAGUAAGUGAAAAUGG
rnacentral:sRNA from 1 species